rnacentral:misc_RNA from 1 species
CUUUAUGGCAUAGCACAACAAAUUUCAUACACAAUUAUUUGGACUGCCGCUCCAUAAACAUCUACAUGUACUUGGGUGUUUGUGUGAUACUUUUUGAUUGUCCGUAAGCAUGUUUUAGUCUUUUGAGUAGUUAAACAUUUGUGAGAUCGUUUUUGUGUGAAUCCCGAAGAGAUGUUUUAACGCUCGAAUCAAUACGCGCACAAUUCGAUAGCAAAUAUGCCGUAUGCCUAGUUAUGUGAAGUGGUUCCUCGAUGGGCUGUGUUGCAGUCCGUGUUCCAGUUCGUGCUGCAGCUUGUGUUGCAGCCCCUGCAGCAAUCCCAUCUAUAUGUGUUCUUGCAGUCCGUGUUGCAACGCGUGCUGCAGCCCCUGCUGUACCACGUGCUGCUCACAAUGCUGCUGUUAUCCAUGCUAAUGCAGGAGGCUCGAGGAGUACUCACACCCUGCCAUGAAGAUAUACUUCACAAUCAUAUGUGUAGAUACUCGCGUAAGAUUACGACAUUGGACUUGAACAAUGCUAACUGAACAUAUAUGGACAUAUAACUAAAAAUUCUUUU